rnacentral:rRNA from 1 species
AUACGUAGGGGGCGAGCGUUGUCCGGAAUGAUUGGGCGUAAAGGGUGCGUAGGCGGCCCGGUAAGUCUGGAGUGAAAGUCCUGUUUUUAAGAUGGGAAUUGCUUUGGAUACUGUCGGGCUUGAGUGCAGGAGAGGUAAGUGGAAUUCCCAGUGUAGCGGUGAAAUGCGUAGAGAUUGGGAGGAACACCAGUGGCGAAGGCGACGUACUGGACUGUAACUGACGCUGAGGCGCGAAAGUGUGGGGAGCAAACAGGAUUAGAUACCCUGGUAGUCCACACUGUAAACGAUGAAUGCUAGGUGUAGGGGGUAUCGACCCCUUCUGUGCCGCAGUCAACACAAUAAGCAUUCCGCCUGGGGAGUACGGCCGCAAGGUUGAAACUCAAAGGAAUUGACGUGG